rnacentral:rRNA from 1 species
UACGUAGGGGGCAAGCGUUGUCCGGAUUUCUUGGGCGUAAAGAGCGUGUAGGCGGCCAGGUAGGUCUGCUGUGAAAACUCGAGGCUUAACCUCGAGCUGUCGGCGGAAACCAUCUGGCUAGAGUCCGGAAGAGGAGAAUGGAAUUCCCGGUGUAGCGGUGAAAUGCGCAGAUAUCGGGAAGAACACCCGUGGCGAAGGCGGUUCUCUGGGACGGUACUGACGCUGAGACGCGAAAGCGUGGGGAGCGAACAGG